rnacentral:rRNA from 1 species
UGAUCUCAAAUCAGGUAGGACUACCCG